UACGGAGGGAGCUAGCGUUGUUCGGAAUUACUGGGCGUAAAGCGCACGUAGGCGGCUUUGUAAGUUAGAGGUGAAAGCCCGGGGCUCAACCCCGGAAUUGCCUUUAAGACUGCAUCGCUUGAAUCCGGGAGAGGUGAGUGGAAUUCCGAGUGUAGAGGUGAAAUUCGUAGAUAUUCGGAAGAACACCAGUGGCGAAGGCGGCUCACUGGACCGGUAUUGACGCUGAGACGCGAAAGCGUGGGGAGCAAACAGG
rnacentral:rRNA from 1 species